AUGGCGACCGGCGCACGGGUGAGUAACACGUAUCCAACCUGCCGAUAACUCGGGGAUAGCCUUUCGAAAGAAAGAUUAAUACCCGAUGGUAUAAUCAGACCGCAUGGUCUUGUUAUUAAAGAAUUUCGGUUAUCGAUGGGGAUGCGUUCCAUUAGGCAGUUGGUGAGGUAACGGCUCACCAAACCUUCGAUGGAUAGAGGUUCUGAGAGGAAGGUCCCCCACAUUGGAACUGAGACACGGUCCAA
rnacentral:rRNA from 1 species